AUUGAACGCUGGCGGCAUGCUUUACACAUGCAAGUCGAACGGCAGCGCGGGCUUCGGCCUGGCGGCGAGUGGCGAACGGGUGAGUAAUGCAUCGGAGCGUGCCCAGUAGUGGGGGAUAGCCCGGCGAAAGCCGGAUUAAUACCUCAUACGACCUGAGGGUGAAAGCGGGGGACCGAAAGGCCUCGCGCUAUUGGAGCGGCCGAUGUCGGAUUAGCUAGUUGGUGGGGUAAAGGCUUACCAAGGCGACGAUCCGUAGCUGGUCUGAGAGGACGACCAGCCACACUGGGACUGAGACACGGCACAGACUCCUACGGGAGGCCGCAGUGGGGAAUUUUGGACGAUGGGGGAAACCCUGAUCCAGCCAUGCCGCGUGCGGGAAGAAGGCCUUCGGGUUGUAAACCGCUUUUGUUCGGGAAGAAAUCCUCUGGGCUAAUACCCCGGGGGGAUGACGGUACCGGAAGAAUAAGCACCGGCUAACUACGUG
rnacentral:rRNA from 1 species